AACUGGAGUGAUGAGAACUACACCUUAGGUGGGUGCUGGGGACUGUUUUGGUCUUCUUUGCACUUGCCAAUGCUAGGAGUUGUCAUAGUUACACUGACCAUGU